ACACGACUACAUUAGAUACCCGCGUAGUCCUAGCCGUAAACGAUACUCGCUAGGUGUCGGCCACGGUGCGACCGUUGUCGGUGCCGUAGGGAAGCCGUGAAGCGAGCCACCUGGGAAGUACGGCCGCAAGGCUGAAACUUAAAGGAAUUGGCGGGGGAGCACAACAACGGGUGGAGCUUGCGGUUUAAUUGAAUUCAACGCCGGAAAUCUUACCGGGACCGACAGCAACAUGAAGGCCAAGCUGAAGACUUUGCCGGAUUAGCUG
rnacentral:rRNA from 1 species